CAAUAGCGUAUAUUAAAGUUGUUGCAGUUAAAAAGCUCGUAGUUGGAUUUCUGGUGGGAGCGAUCGGUCUGGCGCUUAGCGCGAGUACUUGCAUCGUCUCCGGCCAUCCUUGGGGAGAGUCUGUCUGGCAUUAGGUUGUCGGGCAGAGGAUCCUCAUCGUUUACUGUGAAAAAAUUAGAGUGUUCAAAGCAGGCUUAUGCCGUUGAAUAUAUUAGCAUGGAAUAAUAAGAUAGGACUUUGGUACUAUUUUGUUGGUUUGCGCACCAAAGUAAUGAUUAAUAGGGACAGUUGGGGGUAUUCGUAUUCCGUUGUCAGAGGUGAAAUUCUUGGAUUCACGGAAGACGAACUACUGCGAAAGCAUUUACCAAGGAUGUUUUCAUUAA
rnacentral:rRNA from 1 species